rnacentral:rRNA from 1 species
ACUCAAAUGAAUUGACGGGGACCCGCACAAGCGGUGGAGCAUGUGGUUUAAUUCGAGGCAACGCGAAGAACCUUACCAGGCCUUGACAUGUCCAGUUUGAUUACCAGAGAUGGUUUUCUUCACUUCGGGUGGCUGGAACACAGGUGCUGCAUGGCUGUCGUCAGCUCGUGUCGUGAGAUGUUGGGUUAAGUCCCGCAACGAGCGCAACCCUCGUCCUUAGUUGCUAACAUUCAGUUGAGAACUCUAAGGAAACUGCCUAUGAUAAGUAGGAGGAAGGUGGGGACGACGUCAAGUCAUCAUGGCCCUUACGGCCUGGGCUACACACGUGCUACAAUGGCGGCUACAAUGGGCAGCGAUACCGUGAGGUCUAGCUAAUCCCUAAAAGCCGUCUCAGUUCGGAUUGUACUCUGCAACUCGAGUACAUGAAGUUGGAAUCGCUAGUAAUCGUAGAUCAGCAUGCUACGGUGAAUACGUUCCCGGGUCUUGUACACACCGCCCGU